rnacentral:rRNA from 1 species
CCUACGGGGGGCAGCAGUGGGGAAUAUUGGACAAUGGGCGAAAGCCUGAUCCAGCCAUGCCGCGUGUGUGAAGAAGGCCUUCGGGUUGUAAAGCACUUUCAGUGGGGAAGAAAGCCUUGGGGCUAAUACCCUCGAGGAAGGACAUCACCCACAGAAGAAGCACCGGCUAACUCCGUGCCAGCAGCCGCGGUAAUACGGAGGGUGCGAGCGUUAAUCGGAAUUACUGUGCGUAAAGCGCGCGUAGGCGGUCUGAUAAGCCGGUUGUGAAAGCCCCGGGCUCAACCUGGGAACGGCAUCCGGAACUGUCAGGCUAGAGUGCAGGAGAGGAAGGUAGAAUUCCCGGUGUAGCGGUGAAAUGCGUAGAGAUCGGGAGGAAUACCAGUGGCGAAGGCGGCCUUCUGGACUGACACUGACGCUGAGGUGCGAAAGCGUGGGUAGCAAACAGGAUUAGAUACCCCAGUAGUC